UGGGGAAUUUUACGCAAUGGGGGAAACCCUGACGUAGCGACACCGCGUGAACGAAGAAGCCUUUUGGGGUGUAAAGUUCUGUCAGCAGGAACGAAAUAAAUGACGGUACCUGCAGAGGAAGCAUCGGCUAACUACGUGCCAGCAGCCGCGGUAAGACGUAGGAUGCGAGCGUUGUCCGGAUUCAUUGGGCGUAAAGAGUUCGUAGGCGGUUUAUUAAGUCUGGUGUUAAAGACUGGGGCUCAACCCUGGGACAGCACUGGAUACUGGUAGGCUGGAGUGUGGUAGAGGCAAGCGGAAUUCCUGGUGUAGCGGUGAAAUGCGUAGAUAUCAGGAAGAACACCGGUGGCGUAAGCGGCUUGCUGGGCCAUAACUGACGCUGAGGAACGAAAGCUAGGGUAGCGAAUGGGAUUAGAUACCCGCGUAGUCC
rnacentral:rRNA from 1 species